GACACAUUUAGGGCUGAGCUGGGCAC
rnacentral:piRNA from 1 species